AAAGCUCAAAUUUGAAAUCGGCCAACAGGUCGAGUUGUAAUUUGUAGAUUGUAUCUUGAGAGCGGAUUAAAGUCUGUUGGAAUACAGCGCCUUAGAGGGUGACAGCCCCGUAAAAUCUAUUCUCAUUGUAAGAUACUUUCGAAGAGUCGAGUUGUUUGGGAAUGCAGCUCUAAGUGGGAGGUAAAUUCCUUCUAAAGCUAAAUAUUGACGAGAGACCGAUAGCGAACAAGUACUGUGAAGGAAAGAUGAAAAGCACUUUGAAAAGAGAGUGAAAAAGUACGUGAAAUUGUUAAAAGGGAAGGGUAUUGAAUCAGACGUGGUGUUGUUGUUCAGCAUUGUUUCGGCAGUGUGUAUUCAACAAUACUAGGCCAAGGUGGGGUGAUUGGGAGUGAAAAAGAAGUAGGAAUGUAGCUCCUCGGAGUGUUAUAACCUACUUUCAUAACUCCUCAGUCGCCUCAGGACUGCGCUUCGGCAAGGACUUUGGCAUAAUGAUUCUAUACCGCCCGUCUUGAAACACGGACCA
rnacentral:rRNA from 1 species